CUGCCCACUGUUUGAAGGGCCGCGGUAAUUUGACCGUGCGAAGGUAGCAUAAUUAUUAGUCUUUUAAUUGGAGGCUGGAAUGAAUGGUUGGACGAGAUAUACACUGUUUGAACUUAAUUUUUAGGUUAAAAAGCUUAAAUUUUUUUUUGGGACGAGAAGACCCUAUAGAGUUCUAUAUAUUUUAUUGGGGUGAUAGAAAGAUAAUAAACUUUUAUUAGAUCCCUUUGAUUAUAAGAUUAAAUUACCUUAGGGAUAACAGCGUAAUCUUUUUUGAGAGUUCAAAUCGACAAUGAGGGUUGCGACCUCGAUGUUGGAUUAAA
rnacentral:rRNA from 1 species